AUACUUGCUAGCUACAUUUAAUCCUUUGAUUGGCCUCUAAAGGCAAAAAUGAUGGGAAUGAAAGUAAUUGAGAUGUGAAUGACAAUAGCUUACAAUAGCUUACUGUCACUUGGUUCAUAAUGUUGAUGGAAUUCUAUUUUGGAGUGUUUGUGGUUUGGAGUGCUAAUAUUGACAUGGUUUGUUUAUGCAUAACAACAACUUAGUGCUUUUUGAUGCAUACUAUUCUGCUUCUGUAUUUUAAGCAGGCUCACAGCUCUACAACUAAGAAAGGAGAGGUUGCAACUAUUUAAGGCACAUCUUUUGGAACAAGGUUCGUUUGACUCUGCUGUUGAAGGAUGUGAUGGUGUCUUUUAUAUUGCUUCACCAGUUCGUGUUGUCGUAAAUGACCCACAGGUUGAGUUGAUUGUUCCACUUAUAUCGCAAUAGUCCUGGUUGCCCCACAUCUACAGGUUGUUACAGAUUCAGCUUUGGCUGUGAUAAUUCUACUGGCACUUAUAAGGUAAUGGUAUCCUGUUACUUUCGUCAUCAACUAAGAAGCAAUGUGAAAAUUUUAAGCUUGGGUGAUAAUGUUUGGAGGGAUAUUGAAAGUUUCCCUGUUGAACCUAUAUAUGCGGAUUAUGCUUGUGGAACUGAUUAUGAUGAUGUGUAUUUCAAAAGCAUUAUCACUUGGUUGGGUAUUUGAAAUAAACUUUGGUUUGUAUUAGUUAUAAUUUCAUAAAGAAAUUUGUCAAGUACUUGGGGACAUAAGAUUUUGAUGUACUGAUAAACCACAUAUUUUUAUAAGAUUAUGUUUAAUUGGA